GAUGAACGCUGGCGGCGUGCCUAAUACAUGCAAGUCGAACGCAUUGUGGUUGAAAUGAUAUGAAGAACUUGUUCAGAUUUGAUUUUCAACAUUGCAAUGAGUGGCGAACGGGUGAGUAACACGUGGGAAACCUACCUCUUAGCAGGGGAUAACAUUUGGAAACAAAUGCUAAUACCGUAUAAUAAUUAAAACCGCAUGGUUUUAGUUUAAAAGAUGGUCUUGCUAUCACUAAGAGAUGGUCCCGCGGUGUAUUAGUUAGUUGGUGAGGUAAUGGCUCACCAAGACAAUGAUACAUAGCCGAGUUGAGAGACUGACCGGCCACAAUGGGACUGAGACACGGCCCAUACUCCUACGGGAGGCAGCAGUAGGAAUCUUCCACAAUGGACGAAAGUCUGAUGGAGCAACGCCGCGUGUGUGAUGAAGGUUUCGGCUCGUAAAACACUGUUGUAAGAGAAGAA
rnacentral:rRNA from 1 species